CAUAAAUAUAACCCACAAAAGGUAUAAACAAAGUCUAAGGGUUAAAGUCACAUAUUUGAAAAUAUAGAAGGUAGUGCUUUUGGGUUUUGGGGUAUAAAGUAUUAUUAUGGCUAAACUGCAUGGACCAAAGUUGUAAGUUUUUAAUAACGUAUAUUCAAUUUGGAGGAAUUAAUCGUUCAAAUUGAUCGUUUCAUUACCUUGUCCGCUCACUACUUUAAAAACAAAAAAAAAAAAACCGAUCAAACCUCUUUGAGGCUGCUAUACCUACGCCGACUAGAGAAAGACAAAUAUGGAGAGAAGUGAGUGAAAGAGAAAGAGAAUAAGAGCCAGUGUUAUGUUCUUCUUCUUUUCCCGGCGGGAAUUGCUUGGAAGUGGUGAAGAUUUCAGGCAUGGCUAAAACUCGGGCGAGGAUACGAGCUUUCCGGCGACUACCUGUAACUCCCGUUACCAUCUUUCUUUGUUGACCAGCCCCUACCAAUCGACCACAAGAAGCUAUGAAAAACCGAAUAAGGAGCGAGAGAGGUGCAGAGCAUCGCGUGCAUAUUAAUAUAUGGUUGUGUUGUUGUGGUUUUUUUCUGAUAUUGAUGGAAUUCUUUACAGAGAGCAAUAAGAAUCAGACAAAUCGAUAUGGGUUUUGUUGUAUUUAAUACUUUUGCUAAGCCUCAAUAACAUCGUAGAAAAGUGGUGGGUCUUCUUGUUCCCACCUCGAUGCCAAUGACAUUAAAGAAUACAUGCCCUCACCGGUGGUCGAGAGUGAGGAUUUUUCUGACAUCAGGGUAUGCACCGAGAAUAACGAGGAUACGGGUCAGUGGUGUUCUUACAUGCUUUAUGUUGAAAGUGUUGAGCAAAGCCGAUGUCUUAUAUUUGUUGUGUUCGGUGUACUCGGUCCAAAACAGAGAGGCAUCAGGCUGAGAAAAUGAAUGAGCAUGGAUUGAUAAAUUUUUAGAUCCAUGGAAGGCUUCAUCUGUAUAGCUAGAGAGACGACGGCCAGACCUAAUUUGUUUGUUUUCCAGUGAGGUGCUGAUGGCUCAUGAAAUGUGGUGAUAUUGCUCCAAAAUAUUUGUUUUGGUUGUAUGAGGUAUGCUGAGUUUUCCAGAAAAAAAUAAUGAAGGAACAAAAGUUGCUUUGUAGCUGAUGCAUCAGGUUGUGUGCAAGGAGAACCCAUCACGUGCAUGUCUCUAGUUUGUGAAGGUAUUUGUUGAAUUACGGACCUACAAAGUUACGUGUUGAAGCGAUAGCAAAGCCGAAAAGAUAAGGUAGCUUAGGAGCUUGGCUUGGUGAGAUGAGGUCACUUUGGGUAGUUUAUCAUUAGAAUAAAGAUUCCACUUGGAAACGUUAUUUAAUUUUGGAACUUAUGCCUUCGCUACAAUUAAAUACUUUUGAUAUUUUGGUUUUGAAUUGAACGUAACGUUGUAGUUUGAAAUGUUUUUGAAAUAAACAAU